AUGAGGAGAAAUUACCGACCGUCCGUCCCUAAAGCAAGUGACAAAGGACUUGAUGGUUGGUAUCCGAGAUCCAAGUUCGAAUUUUAGUUGAUUCACAUUUCUAACUAAAUUUAUUUAUAAAUGAAAUAAACGAAGCGGAUAGCGUGCUACCUAUCUCUCAAAAAAAAAUAAUAAUAAUGAGGAGAAAUUUCAGAGAUACAAGUGUUUUAUUAGU
rnacentral:lncRNA from 1 species